GCUUACGGCCACACCGGACUGAGUACGCCUGAUCUCGUCCGAUCUCGGAAGCUAAGCAGGGUCGGGCCUGGUUUAGUACUUGGAUGGGAGACCGCCUGGGAAUACCAGGUGCUGUAAGCU
rnacentral:rRNA from 1 species